AUGUAUUCAUGCAUUCUUGAAAUAAUCGGUUACAAAACUAUAAUCCAUGAACUGAAUAGUUGAUUUUGUGCCUAAAUGUUUGUACACUUAAAGCCCUUUAUAUGCAACUUUUAUGUGAGAUUCUUGUUUUGCGAAUGGCCCAACUUUAAUUUAUACCAUUUUAUGUGAUUAUGUGUAUUGUUGGAUAAUGAAACCAACAACGAAUUGUUUGAUGAUGCACAUAAUAAAUUAUCAGCCUAAUUUACAUAAAUAUUUCAUUUCUGGCCCAAAGGUGUUAUGUUAUAUUUAUGUGCUUUACUUUAUUAUUUAUGUGUGUUCAUAAUACAUUAAUUUUGGUCAAAGCCAAAGCGAAGCUAGAGUUCAUGUAGAACAUUGAGACAGUCUAUAUUUAUGUGUGUUCAUAAUAUGUGAAUUAUGGUCAAAGCCAAAGCGAAGCCAGAGUUCAUGUAGAACACUAAAGACGGUCUAUUAUUUAUAUCGUUCAUAAUGCUGAAUUUUGGUCAAAGCCAAAGCGAAGCCAAAAUUUAGGUAGAACAUUAAGCCGAGGUUUAUUAUUUUUUUUAUCGUUCAUAAUGCGUGAAUUUUGGUCAAAGCCAAACGAAGCCAAAAUUCAGGUAGAAUCUUAAAUUAGUCUGUUAUUUUGGUGUUAUAGUAGACUAUAUCUUCAAUAUAAUAAUUUGUGUAUGCCUUACUUGAUUACCUCAUAAUGUAAAUCACUCCAAGCUUCUUCUUAGGUUUGUAUCUCAUCUAUUUCAUCCACUCUAAUUUCAAAACCUAAAAUGUUUUGCUUACUAAAGAGUUUCUACAAAAUUUGCUCUUGUUGAAUUGUUGAUUAUUUCUUAAGAUAUGAUAAUCCUACUGCUCUUUUCUGAUAAAAAGUAUUACAGAAGAAAACUAGAGCAUGACUAGUGGGAUAAGUCAACCAUUAUAUCUCUUAUGAUAAUUAAGAACUCAUUUCAUUAUUGCUAUCAUGGGAGCUAUUCUAGAUUCUAAAUUUCCUAAGACUAAUUUGUUUUUUUUUUU
rnacentral:lncRNA from 1 species